rnacentral:rRNA from 1 species
CCUACGGGAGGCAGCAGUGGGGAAUAUUGCACAAUGGGGGAAACCCUGAUGCAGCGACGCCGCGUGAGUGAAGAAGGCCUUCGGUAUGUAAAGCUCUAUCAGCAGGGAAGAAAAUGACGGUACCUGAGUAAGAAUCCCCGGCUAACUACGUUCCAGCAGCCGCGGUAAUACGUAGGGGGCAAGCGUUAUCCGGAUUUACUGGGUGUAAAGGGAGCGUAGACGGCAGGGCAAGUCUGGAGUGAAAGGCGGGGGCUCAACCCCCGGACUGCCCUGGAAACUGUACGGCUGGAGUGCAGGAGAGGUAAGUGGAAUUCCUAGUGUAGCGGUGAAAUGCGUAGAUAUUAGGAGGAACACCAGUGGCGAAGGCAGCUUACUGGACUGUAACUGACGUUGAGGCUCGAAAGCGUGGGGAGCAAACAGGAUUAGAUACCCUUGUAGUC